CUUCAACGUUAACCUUACACUAGAACAUUCCAGGAAAGAUUAAAAAAGAAAGAAGGAACUCGGCAAAUUUUAGCCCCGCCUGUUUACCAAAAACAUCGCCUCUUGACACAAUAUAAGAGGUCUAGCCUGCCCAGUGACAGAGUUUAACGGCUACGGUAUCCCUGACCGUACGAAGGUAGCAUAAUCACUUGUCCCUUAAAUAGGGGCCUGUAUCAACGGCAUCACGAGGGCUGCACUGUCUCCUCUCUUCAAUCAGUGAAACUGAUCCUCCCGUGAAGAAGCGGGAAUUCAUUUAUAAGACGAGAAGACCCCAUGGAGCUUUAAGCAAGCUCUCACACUAUAUCAACACAUCUUUUAACUACAAGCUCUGAGUGCAAGUUUUAGGUUGGGGGGACCGCGGAGAACAACUAAACCUCCGUGACAAAUAGCCCUAAGCCCUUAUCUACGAGCAACAGCUCUAAGAAUCAGUACACUGAUGAUUAUGACCCGAUACUAUUCGACCAACGAACCAAGUUACCCUGGGGAUAACAGCGCAAUCUACUUCGAGAGCCCAUAUCGACAAGUAGGUUUACGACCUCGAUGUUGG
rnacentral:rRNA from 1 species